rnacentral:rRNA from 1 species
CAUAUGCUUGUCUCAAAGAUUAAGCCAUGCAUGUCUCAGUACAAGCCGCAUUAAGGUGAAACCGCGAAAGGCUCAUUAAAUCAGUUAUGGUUCCUUAGAUCGUACCCACAUUUACUUGGAUAACUGUGGUAAUUCUAGAGCUAAUACAUGCAAACAGAGUUCCGACCGGAGACGGGAGGAACGCUUUUAUUAGAUCAAAACCAAUCGGCGGCGGGCCUCGGUCCGUUCGCCGCUCAAUCUGGUGACUCUGAAUAACUUUCGGCCGAUCGCACGGUCUCGCACCGGCGACGCAUCUUUCAAAUGUCUGCCUUAUCAACUGUCGAUGGUAGGUUCUGCGCCUACCAUGGUCGUAACGGGUAACGGGGAAUCAGGGUUCGAUUCCGGAGAGGGAGCCUGAGAAACGGCUACCACAUCCAAGGAAGGCAGCAGGCGCGCAAAUUACCCACUCCCGGCACGGGGAGGUAGUGACGAAAAAUAACGAUACGGGACUCAUCCGAGGCCCCGUAAUCGGAAUGAGUACACUUUAAAUCCUUUAACGAGGAUCAAUUGGAGGGCAAGUCUGGUGCCAGCAGCCGCGGUAAUUCCAGCUCCAAU